rnacentral:rRNA from 1 species
CACGUAGGCACCAAGCGUUGUCCGGAUUUAUUGGGCGUAAAGAGCUCGUAGGCGGCUUGUUGCGUCGGUUGUGAAAGCCCGGGGCUUAACCCCGGGUCUGCAGUCGAUACGGGGCAGGCUCGAGUUCGGUAGGGAGACUGGAAAUUUCCUGGUGUAGCGGUGAAAUGCGCAGAUAUCAGGAGGAACACCUAUAGCGAAGGCAGCUUGCUUGGACGUUACUUGACGCUUAAGGCGCGAAGCGUGGAGCGAACAGG